rnacentral:rRNA from 1 species
GACGAACGCUGGCGGCGUGCUUAACACAUGCAAGUCGAACGGAAAGGCCCUGCUUUUGUGGGGUGCUCGAGUGGCGAACGGGUGAGUAACACGUGAGUAACCUGCCCUUGACUUUGGGAUAACUUCAGGAAACUGGGGCUAAUACCGGAUAGGAGCUCCUGCUGCAUGGUGGGGGUUGGAAAGUUUCGGCGGUUGGGGAUGGACUCGCGGCUUAUCAGCUUGUUGGUGGGGUAGUGGCUUACCAAGGCUUUGACGGGUAGCCGGCCUGAGAGGGUGACCGGCCACAUUGGGACUGAGAUACGGCCCAGACUCCUACGGGAGGCAGCAGUGGGGAAUAUUGCACAAUGGGCGGAAGCCUGAUGCAGCAACGCCGCGUGCGGGAUGACGGCCUUCGGGUUGUAAACCGCUUUCGCCUGUGACGAAGCGUGAGUGACGGUAAUGGGUAAAGAAGCACCGGCUAACUACGUGCCAGCAGCCACGGUGAUACGUAGGGUGCGAGCGUUGUCCGGAUUUAUUGGGCGUAAAGGGCUCGUAGGUGGUUGAUCGCGUCGGAAGUGUAAUCUUGGGGCUUAACCCUGAGCGUGCUUUCGAUACGGGUUGACUUGAGGAAGGUAGGGGAGAAUGGAAUUCCUGGUGGAGCGGUGGAAUGCGCAGAUAUCAGGAGGAACACCAGUGGCGAAGGCGGUUCUCUGGGCCUUUCCUGACGCUGAGGAGCGAAAGCGUGGGGAGCGAACAGGCUUAGAUACCCUGGUAGUCCACGCUGUAAACGGUGGGUACUAGGUGUGGGGUCCAUUCCACGGGUUCCGUGCCGUAGCUAACGCUUUAAGUACCCCGCCUGGGGAGUACGGCCGCAAGGCUAAAACUCAAAGGAAUUGACGGGGCCCCGCACAAGCGGCGGAGCAUGCGGAUUAAUUCGAUGCAACGCGUAGAACCUUACCUGGGUUUGACAUGGAUCGGGAGUGCUCAGAGAUGGGUGUGCCUCUUUUGGGGUCGGUUCACAGGUGGUGCAUGGCUGUCGUCAGCUCAUGUCGUGAGAUGUUGGGUUAAGUCCCGCAACGAGCGCAACCCUUGUUCACUGUUGCCAGCACGUUAUGGUGGGGACUCAGUGGAGACCGCCGGGGUCAACUCGGAGGAAGGUGGGGAUGACGUCAAGUCAUCAUGCCCCUUAUGUCCAGGGCUUCACGCAUGCUACAAUGGCUGGUACAGAGAGUGGCGAGCCUGUGAGGGUGAGCGAAUCUCGGAAAGCCGGUCUCAGUUCGGAUUGGGGUCUGCAACUCGACCUCAUGAAGUCGGAGUCGCUAGUAAUCGCAGAUCAGCAACGCUGCGGUGAAUACGUUCCCGGG